GAUGAACGCUGGCGGCGUGCCUAAUACAUGCAAGUCGAGCGGUAAGGCUUUCACAGAUUAUUUGAACGGAUAAGUUCGCUACAAGUAGCGAAUACUGUUUGAAGAUACAUUUACAGGCUAGUAAAUGUAGUCGAAUAAUGUGUGAAAGUACACGAGCGGCGGACGGCUGAGUAACGCGUAGGAACGUACCCUAAAGUGAGGGAUAAGCACCGGAAACGGUGUCUAAUACCGCAUGUGAUCCACGGAUCAAAGCCUUCGGGCGCUUUGGGAGCGGCCUGCGUAUGAUUAGCUAGUUGGUGAGGUAAUGGCUCACCAAGGCGACGAUCAUUAGCUGGUCUGAGAGGAUGAUCAGCCAGACUGGGACUGAGACACGGCCCAGACUCCUACGGGAGGCAGCAGUAGGGAAUUUUCCACAAUGGACGAAAGUCUGAUGGAGCAACGCCGCGUGCAGGAUGAAGGCUUU
rnacentral:rRNA from 1 species